GGAAUCCCCUGGGGUCAUGGAGUUGCCUGAAGGACGCUCAGUUCAGAUGCCCAGAGCUCCCAGUCCACUUGGAGCAGCUCAGAAGACUCUAGAGGUUUGUUGAUGAGUGCAAGAACAAAUCGGUGAAGAAAUAGAUGAUUUCAUCAGAGCUGGCCAACAUCUAACAAAACCAAAUGCCUUCAGCCCUCUUGCCCCACUAUUCCCAUCAGCUGUUGAUGCCAAAGAGCCUUGAAAUAAUCUAGAUGCCAACAUCAAAUGGACAGAAGAGAACCAGACAAGGGCACUGAACAACUACAUACAUCAACCAUGAAAAAUCAGAACGGCUUUUCCCCCCCUGGUAACGUUUUUGUAAUUAACCUACAAACCUAAAUUUGCCCGAAAAGAACCCAACGCUAAAUCCCAACGCAGUAAUGAAAUUCCCACUUCUUAGGUUUGCGUUUCAGGCAUGCCUCUGUACUAACUUCUCAUUUCCGCCUCUCCUAUGCUAAUCAGGAGUGAAAUAAAUACAAUCUUCAAACCA